UCAGGGUGUUUUGGCCGAGUCACUGAAAUAAAAAACUAUAUAACCUUGAGUGCCUCUUGGAUUCCAGAAGCAUUAAUUCAUGUCCUCACACUCUAGCACUUUAAGGUUAAUGGAUGCCUCAGAGGCCAGCCGUGGACCUGCCCUGGAGAACUUGGCCUCUUAGUACCAAGUGGACCAUGCAGAGCAGACAGCUAAGAGACGGCAGGAGGGACGGUGUGAACUCUGACCGCUGGGCCAAUCUAAAGUCAACCGUGACAACAAACCGAGAGUUAUGUCAAAAGCUAAGGAAUCAGCCCGAUUUAUGCAUUUUAAGUUAC